rnacentral:rRNA from 1 species
AUUGAACGCUGGCGGCAGGCCUAACACAUGCAAGUCGAGCGAGCGGCGGACGGGUGAGUAAUGUAUGGGGAUCUGCCCAGUAGCGGGGGAUAACUACUGGAAACGGUAGCUAAUACCGCAUACCAUCGGAUGUGCCCAGAUGGGAUUAGCUAGUAGGUGGGGUAACGGCUUACCUAGGCGACGAUCCCUAGCUGGUCUGAGAGGAUGACCAGCCACACUGGAACUGAGCCACGGUCCAGACUCCUACGGGAGGCAGCAGUGGGGAAUAUUGCACAAUGUGCGCAAGCCUGAUGCAGCCAUGCCGCGUGUAUGAAGAAGGCCUUCGGGUUGUAAAGUACUUUCAGCGGGGAGGCGUUACCCGCAGAAGAAGCACCGGCUAACUCCGUGCCAGCAGCCGCGGUAAUUC